CCUCAACUUUUACUUUCAAUGCAUCCAGUUCAUGAGUACCCUGGCAAUAACAGGCCAUGGAAAAGUAUUCUCUGUGUAAAUGAAAGGUAUUUGAUUGUGGACCAACCUACUUGUUUAUUACCUGUGAAUGAACUCUGAACUUCCUUGAGUCAUAUCUGUGGUAUAUCUGCCCUUGCCCGCUCCUUCCCCAGUGUGUACCACCUGUGCAGGAAGCCCUGACCUCUGCUCUGAGCCCUGACUGCUCCGGGAAGGGAAUUUCUGCUGAACAUGUUGGCUUUGUUUAGGAAACUAUCACAGCAACCAGCACACAUCUUUCCUGAAGGACAGUGGCCCUUCUCAGAGCAGCUGCUGGGAUGCAGACUGAAGAAGCAGCUGGCCGGGACCGUACUCCACUUCUGCUCCCACGGGAGGUGUGGGUGCUGUCACCCCAAAACCACAAGAACUGGAGUGCACCAGUUUGUUCUACAGAAAAGAGACAAAGGUGUUGGCCCCAGCAAGCCCUGUGGCUGAAGAUCCACCAAUUGACCAUUGUUACCAGGCUGAUGCAGAUCAUUAGGCCUCUGCAAGUUUUUAUUCAUUCUCAGGAUAAAAUUUGCACUUCUGUUGCUAUUGUUAAGUAAUCACCAGACUCACGGAUAGGUGAGCACUGCAAAGCAUUACAGUAGAUAAGAUUACUAGGAGCUAUUAUUUCCUUUUUAAUAGCUUGGUCAGUAUUUUAUAACAAUGAAAAGGUUCCCCACUCAGCAAUAAUAAGCUGUAACUCUUGUAUGUAGCAGAAACUGUAAAUAUUGCAUUGCAUACAUACGUUUCUAGACGACAAGCAGAUUUAGAGAUUUGAGCAGGGUGAAAUACUGUUUCUAUCGGUGACAGCAUUAGCUUAAAUCCCGGAAGAUAUAUUCCAGAUGUUCUGUGCUAAUAGGAUUAUUUUAUAAAAUUGUAGACAGAUUUUAGAAGCAACACCCCAGUUAAGCACUUUGCGAUCCCCAUGUAGCUUUUAUUUAUUUAUUUAUUUCCAUCUGAAUUAAUGGUUCUUUGGUCUUGUGUUAGUUUCACCCAGUUGUCAUAGAUCACAAGAGAGCCAUCAUUUACUGGCAAGUGAUCACUUACUCAUUUAGAUUUCCAGGCCUCAUUAUAUAUUCAUGCUGAUUCAAAGGAAAUGCAAUGAAUUCUUUAGGUGGAGUCUCAGUAGACUGAGUGAUGAUUAUUUAUAACUUAGUAUAACAAAAGUGAUCUGUGCAGUUUGCAGAUACUCUCAAUUUUCACACAUGCAUGCACGCAUACACAUAUGGAGUGUGUAUUUUAUAAAUUUGUUGUUUGUGUUCAUACACAGAAACAACUAUGAUUCACAUGCUAAUAUCAAAGCUGAAGAAUAAAGCUGAAGAAUGUAAAGGCUGACAUUCCUUAUUUAUAUUUAAUUUUGAAGAUGACAGCUGGAUGAACAUGAAUUUUUCUUUUAGUUUGUAUUUAUCCCCAAAGCAUAUUAAAAAGACAGUUUCCCCUCAUUUCUACUUUGAAUGUGUCUGGUGCCCUCAAGUGAAACCACUGACUCAUGCUCCUUCAAAAGCCUCUGGGGAUCUUUAAUUUUGGAAACUAGAUUCAAGGGAAAAUACUUGGCUUUGCUGUCUUGGAGUAAGUGAAAAUCAAAAUCUUCGGCCAUAGGACUGUCUUCUCAUAACACAUUCCAAGGGCUGACUUUCUUUUCAUUGGUUGGCUUGUAACAUUUUGUAGCCAAGUAUUUUUCCCUACGUCUGUUCUGUGGAGUUAGAACAAAGCAGCUAUAUCUUACGUGUCAAACACACCUCAGAGGUGACUGCUGCGAAGCACUUCUGCAGGAAAGUCAGACAGACUUCGUCUUCCAAGUUGUACUUGAUCUCUUUGAUUUCCAUCACUCUUCUCCCUUAUCUUUGCCAGAACUGGAAAACUGAAAUAUGCCUUUCAUAUAAUCGACAAGAGCUGAAAAUACACAUUAUUAAUUUUAAUACAAUGAAACUAAUCUAUUCCUUUCCUUUAAAAAAUAAAUACUACUUGCAAUUGCAUGAUGAUUUAAGUGUUGCAGUGGUUUUUACAGUGUCCUGUGGUUUUCAGCUUGUCCUAUUCUCCAAGAAAAAUAAAUUAAAAGAACAAUAAAAGUUCAAAUUGCUUUCCCCCAUCAUUUUCACAGAAGUCUUGUCUGAGAAUUAAAACUAGGAUGAGAAGAAGCUUUCCCCUGUAAGACUUACAGUGCCUCCUACUUACUGGUGGCAGCAGCAUUUUUACCUCUCCUACUUAGGCCAGUAAUACAAAGAUGGUAAUUAAGAAUUCCCCUCCUAAGAGUAAAAUGACCUGAGUAUCUCAUCUCAUGUAUCAUCUCAU